AGUGGAGCUGGGCAUGCUCAGUGAGCCACCAGAGGCAGUGGACCCUUAGGCGUAGCACCUGCACCGCCCUGCCCUGGGGAGGCGACCCCGAGUACCCACGCGGGACACUGGUCAAGGACAUCGGCCAGACAGUGAUAAGGACAGGAGCUGGUGUCUUAACCGGAGCAACAGACAUUCAAGCUGAAUGAGGCUGAAUGAGCACAGAAGGGGGAAGGGGGAAGAGGAAACACUUGCGAUAAAAUAGGGCUCUACGUUUCCUUGCAGAAAUGGCUCCCUUCAUCCCAACUCUAAAUUUUGAAGUAGACAUCGAGACUGGGAAGGAAGUCUGAGCCCCCUUGAUCCCUGUGCAAAGGCAGAGGGGAGGCAACUCAGUGGAGCACAUCUGGAAACCAUUUACAGUAAUCCCAAGAGAGACUGAGUUUUCUCUCCCUGGGUGGAAACAAAGCCCCCCGGGAAUUUUACAAAACCCCAGCCUUCCAGUGCAUGUCUCAGCAGAUCAGAGCUACAUAAACAACUUCUGACCAUUUACACAAUCAUACAAACCUACCCUGACAUCUCCAUUAUGUGGGAAAGAUGUUAACUGGAAAACUAUUUUUAAACUACUGUAGUAAGCAAACACUCCACUCCUCUAAACACAUGCGGCAACCUCCUUAAUUGAUAUAAGUGAUUUUGUUGUAUCUUUAGUCUCACUUUUGGGUUAUUAUUGGUUUUGAUUUUUAACAUAAUUCAUUCUUGAAAAAUGAGCAAAUGUUAAUGAGGGAAUAGCUAUUACAGGUGUUUCACGGUUUCUGAAGUUAAUGCUGGAAGAAAGAGCCCCUGACCUCAUUUUCAAAGUACUUAAAUCUAGAGACAGACUUAAGCCCCUCCCCUUCUCUCAUGGGAAGGAAAUUUCACAGAAAAGAAAACUUGGUAGUGUAUUUUCCCUGGUGAAUUAUUAAAAAUGAAUGGUUUCUAGUAAGUUUGAUGCACCUGCCUGAUCCAUGAUUCUGAUAACUUUUACUGCAUUGCUUUACUUUAUACUAUAUAUAUGUAUAUAUUAAUAAAGUAUAUUAUAUAUACAUA
rnacentral:lncRNA from 1 species